AACUGCUUUCCUGGUUUUGUUUGUCGUCAUGCCUAUGUGGAUGAGCAGUGAACAACUGGGAUGACAGACAGAGAUCCACCAUGUCCAUGCACCAUUUACAUAACUGCUUUCUGAAAGUUUCCCUGUAACAUCAUUUGCUGAACUUGAGAAUUGAAAUUUUAGUAAGUGCAUGGAUGUGGAAACAAAAUUGUCAAGAAAUUUAUAUUGUAAUUAGUUAAGAAGUUAUAAUGAAAAGGAUUGAGUACUUGAAAGCAAAUUUUGCAUGGGGAUUAUUUAUUUAUUUUUAAGAAUUCUUGAAGCCAUGGCAUUUCAUGUUUUCUCUCACAUCCAUGUGCUUUCAUUUGUAUUUAUGAGUAAUGAUAAAACUUGGAUGCAAAUAAAGGUUUCUUUCUUUUCUGAAUGUUGAUAAAUAGGGUAAGAAAAAUAUGCUAUGGG
rnacentral:misc_RNA from 1 species